ACACGCUUCUUUGCAUCAUAAUCACGCCGAUGAAACGAGGACGAGCUACGUGUUACCCUGGCUGACACUUGAAACAUCGCGAAUUAAAAAUCGGCCAAGAUUUUAUUAGCUUGUUGCAUAUCAAGCGACAUAUCUAAUUGAAUUCAUGACAGAAAAGUGUUGCAAAAUUCUACUUACGGCAGAUCGAUUUAAAGCUUGAAGUACGAAGAAAAUAACUGUACGGCACGAAUGGAUUCUCCGAUGCAAGCAACGAGUCAUUAAAACAGGAAGUCUCGCGAGCAGGGCCGUUUCUCAAGUAAAUUUAGCAAUAUAUCUCGCCCUAAGUGCGUCGUACACGAGCGGAGAAAUUAGCAGCGCGAUAGAAAGGCGCGAUUAAAGGGAACGUGACAUUACGUGUUUCUCGGACAGAGAACAGGAAGCUGUGUGAAAUGAAGGAGAAACUUAAGCUGUCCUUGGC